rnacentral:rRNA from 1 species
GACAGAGGGUGCAAACGUUGCUCGGAAUCACUGGGCGUAAGGGCGUGUAGGCGGGUAGGCAAGUCGGGCGUGAAAUCCCUGAGCUCAACUCAGGAACUGCACUCGAAACUGCUUAUCUUGAGUGCCGGAGAGGAAAGCGGAAUACCUGGUGUAGAGGUGAAAUUCGUAGAUAUCAGGUGGAACACCAGUGGCGAAGGCGGCUUUCUGGACGGUAACUGACGCUGAGACGCGAAAGCGUGGGGAGCAAACAGG